ACUACUUUUUUCUUUUAUAAUCAGGAUUUUUGUACCUCCUGUAUCCAUUUAUCUCUUUUUCCAUACAAUUGCUUCAUCUUCUUAUUCGUUAAAGCACGCAGAAGCAAAGCACUUGCAUCCAAUUUUUGCUCAUGUCGUCAUCAUUGUCGUUGAAAAGAGUAAGUCCAAUUAUCAAAACUGGAGAGCUUUGCCCGGAGACAGCAGUUUAAGAAGCAAAUCGAGAAAGAGAGGCGGAUUUUUAGUGGAUUACUCAUCGUUUAAGGUGAAAAAAGGAAGGUAUAGAAGAAACAAAUGAAGACCGUAUUGGUUGAAUAGUGAAAACCUUUAAAUUUUCUUUUAUUAUCGAAGUUGUGUAUGCCUACUAUUGAACAUGUCAAAAAAUUUGUAUAUUAUACUUUAUAUAUAGGAUGAUACAAGUUGGAUAAUUUGGACUAUGAUCUUCUUAUUGAAUAUUUCCUUUGUGGUUUGUAUA